rnacentral:rRNA from 1 species
GACGAACGCUGGCGGCGUGCUUAACACAUGCAAGUCGAACGGAAAGGCCCCUUUGGGGGUCCUCGAGUGGCGAACGGGUGAGUAACACGUGAGUAACCUGCCCUUGACUUCGGGAUAACUUCAGGAAACUGGGGCUAAUACCGGAUAGGAAUCCUUGCUGCAUGGUGGGGGUUGGAAAGCUUCGGCGGUUUUGGAUGGACUCGCGGCUUAUCGGCUUGUUGGUGGGGUAGUGGCUUACCAAGGCUUUGACGGGUAGCCGGCCUGAGAGGGCGACCGGCCACAGUGGGACUGAGAUACGGCCCAGACUCCUACGGGAGGCAGCAGUGGGGAAUAUUGCACAAUGGGCGGAAGCCGGAUGCAGCAACGCCGCGUGCGGGAUGACGGCCUUCGGGUGGUAAACCGCUUUCAGCAGGGGCGAAGCUUGUGGUGACGGUACCUGCAGAAGAAGCACCGGCUAACUACGUG